AUUCCGGUUGAUCCUGCCGGAGGCCAUUGCUAUCGGAGUCCGAUUUAGCCAUGCUAGUCGUGCGAGUUCAGACUCGCGGCACCGAGCUCAGUAACACGUGGCCAAACUACCCUACAGAGACGGAUACCCUCGGGAAACUGAGGUUAACCCGUCAUACCGAUCUCAGGCUUGAAUCGCAGAGAUCACAAAACGCCCCGGCGCUGUAGGAUGUGGCUGCGGUUGAUUAGGUAGACGGUGGGGUAACGGCCCACCGUGCCCAUAAUCAGUACAGGUUGUGAGAGCAAGAACCUGGAGACGGAAUCUGAGACAAGAUUCCGGGCCCUACGGGGCGCAGCAGGCGCGAAACCUUUACACUGCACGCACGUGCGAUAAGGGGACUCCGAGUGCGAGGGCAUAUCGUCCUCGCUUUCGUGUACCGUAGGGUGGUACACCAACAAGGGCUGGGCAAGACCGGUGCCAGCCGCCGCGGUAAUACCGGCAGCCCGAGUGAUGGCCGAUCUUAUUGGGCCUAAAGCGUCCGUAGCUAAG
rnacentral:rRNA from 1 species